GUUCAAAAUGUCUGCUGCCGCAAUAUUGGACCUUGGAAAAAUACCUUCAAAAGUGAAUCCAGAACUACAGUCUGAACGCGAUUGUUCCAGUUUAACUCCAUAUAUUUCAGAAAUAACUGCUAUUGUCGAUGGCGGUAGAAAUAAUACAGAGAAAAGACGGCAAAUAGAGAGAAUUUUAUUCAAGGAUCCUCUAUUCAGAGACUGUGCCAUUGACAGUGUUUAUAAGCCACGCGAUGAGAUGUAUGCUAGAGGAGUAGAGAGGAGUGUUCGGUUGUUUGCUCUAAAAGAGGAAUACAACUGGACUGAUGAAGAAUUCGGCAUUGCAGUCUAUGUGAUAAAUCAUCAGUAUUCCCUAGGACUGCACACUGUAAUGUUCAUACCUGCAUUAGAGAGACUAUCAACAGAACAACAAAAGGCAAAAUGGCUUCAUCUGGCCAGGAACUACCAGAUUAUUGGCACGUAUGCCCAGACAGAGCUGGGGCAUGGUACUAAUCUGCAGGGACUGGAAACCAUAGCAACUUAUGAUGCCACUACAGAAGAGUUUAUUUUAAACACACCAACUGUUACAUCCAUUAAAUGGUGGCCAGGAGCUUUGGGAAAGUCUGUGAACUAUGCCAUCAUUUUAGCUACUUUAAUCAUUGAUGGUAAAAAGCAUGGCAUGCACCCUUUUCUGACCCCAUUAAGAAGCACAGAGGAUCACAAACCACUGCCAGGUGUAAAAGUUGGAGAUAUUGGACCAAAACUUACAUUUAAUACCGUUGACAAUGGUUACUUAAUCCUGAAUAAUGUACGAAUUCCAAGGGAGAAUAUGCUGAUGAAAAAUGCGCAGGUUAGCAGAGAAGGCCAUUUUACAUCCAGAGGCCCUAGCAAGGCAAACUACUCUGCCAUGAUCUUGGUGAGGGUCACUAUUGUAAACUGGUGCUCUGUGAUUCUCAGUAAUUCUUCUACAAUAACUGUUCGGUACUCUGCUGUUCGAAGACAGUCUACAUUAGAUUCAAGUGAAAAGGAGAGCAAGAUCUUGGACUACCAGACCCAGCAAUACAAAGUGUUUCCUAGUCUUGCCACAGCCUACGCUUUAUUCUUUGUCUCUAAAACCCUCAAGAAUAGGUACUUAAAAACCUAUGCAGAGAUAAUGAAGGGAAACUUUAAAAAUCUUCCUGAGGUAUAGUAUUGUGUAAAUGUAUUGCUUUAUUUACAUGUAUGGUGCUAUAUUUUUGAUUCAAGUGAUUUUGAAUAAUAAAUCAAAGUGAUUCUUCUAGUAAAGUAAAGAAUGUUUUUGCUUGAAUGUUUGAGUUAUGCCACCUAGUUUAUUAGUUUAGCUAAAAAAAAAAGCAUGGUUAGGAAAAUCUUUAAAUGGCUGUGUUUUUUUGUGUAGAUCCAUUGUCAGUCAGCUGGCAUGAAGGCCCUGUCAGCCGAGAUGACGGUCGAGCUGUUGGAGAUCAGCAGACAGGCCUGUGGGGGACACGGUUACCUGGCCGCCUCAGCCCUGGGGGACGCAGUAGCAUCGGCCAAGGCCCUGGUCACUGUGGAAGGGGAGAACACUGUGCUCUACCUGCAGGUCGCCAGGUACUUGAUGAAGAGGUUUGCUGCAGCUGUUAGCGGAGAGAGAUUGUCUGGUUCCACAGAAUAUCUGUGUAUGGACCCCAUAAAAUACAGCUGUCCCAUCAACUCACCUGGAGACUGUAUGAAUGUGUCUUUGUUAUGCCAGGUGUACAGGUUCCGAGCCUACAGGAUGAUUUCAAAAGCUGCCAGGAUGCUCCAAAGAGAUAUAGAAGGGGGAAAAAAGCAACAUAAGGCCAUGAAUGAUAACCUUGUUCAACUUGUCCGAGCAGCAAGGGCUCACCUGUUAUACUGUAUGAUGGUUGAUUACAAGGAAAGCAUGAAUCAACUUCAGAUCAGCGUUCCUGUUUCCAAAGCUUUAAACAAUCUGCUUGUUUUCUUCACUGUGUUCAACAUUGUUAAGAAUGCUGGAGAUUUUCUUGAGACUGAGUCUAUUGGAUUGCCACAGAUGGAAUGGCUGAAAGAAACAGAAGUCAAGAUGCUGGCAGAAAUCAGACCAGAUGCAGUCUCCCUUGUAGAUGCCUUUGAUAUCCAUGACAACACACAUGGUUCGGUGCUCGGCUGUUACGAUGGAAAUGUUUACGAGAGAAUGCUAAAAUCAACACAAAAUGAACCUCUUAACCAAUGUGAUGUUCAUUAUUCCUUCCACCAGCACCUGAAACCAUUUCUACAAAGGAAUAACACCUCAAAACUAUAAAAAGUGCCUCCAUAACAAUAUAGUACAAUUAACUCACUCUAUUAAUUGCUUGGAGCAAUUGUGAGAACAACUGAAGCCACAAAAUGUGAAAUCAUAGACUGCUAGAGGAUGAAUGUAAUAUUAAUGCUGAGAAUUAUCUAAUCAAGACCUGACCAAAGAAUAUCAUUGUAUUUUUUAAUACACAAUACAUGUAUAUUAUUAUGUAUAUAAUUUGCUAAUCAUUUUUAUGUAAUUUGCUUAUGAAAUUUUUAUUCCCUUUGUUUUGUUUUGUGAUGAAUCUGAUUUAAUUGCUUAUUGUACAUAGUAUAAAGAUAUUAAUUGAAAUACAUGUAUUUGAUUAAAAAAUUUCCUGUAAUGCCAUUCGAGACCUAACGAGAAUGAUCUUUAUACAUGUAUCUUAUAUCUGUGAUAACGACCACUGGUUGUGUUUUUAUGGUUUUUUUUUCUGAUUUUGUUUAUGUGAUUUAUCAUUUGUUUAUCAAAGGUUGUUAAGCAUUCACUAUAAAAUAUUACACGAUUAUAUAUUUUUGAUGUUAGUAUGAAGUGUGUAGAUUUACUGUAUUUGAAUGCCAAAAUAUAAGUAAAGUAUAGAUUACAAUUCUAUGAGAAUCAUUUUAACACAGAAAUUGAUGAAUUGUUUCACUUUGUUUUGUUGUUGUAAUUUUUUGAAUAGCCCAAAUAUAUUGGAAGCUAAUAAAAGUAUAUUUGUAGUAAAAU
rnacentral:misc_RNA from 1 species